rnacentral:tRNA from 1 species
GGACUGUAGCUCAGUGGUAGAGUACUUUCCUAGCAUGUGAGAGGCACUGGGUUUGAUCCUCAGCACCA